UACGAAGGGGGCUAGCGUUGUUCGGAAUGACUGGGCGUAAAGGGCGCGUAGGCGGCGGACUAAGUCAGGCGUGAAAGCCCUGGGCUUAACCUGGGAAUUGCGUUUGAUACUGGUUUGCUUGAGUGCGGGAGAGGAUGGUGGAAUUCCCAGUGCAGAGGUGAAAUUCGUAGAUAUUGGGAAGAACACCGGUGGCGAAGGCGGCCAUCUGGACCGUUACUGACGCUGAGGCGCGAAAGCGUGGGGAGCAAACAGG
rnacentral:rRNA from 1 species